rnacentral:rRNA from 1 species
UAUGGCGACCGGCGCACGGGUGAGUAACACGUAUCCAACCUGCCGAUGACUCGGGGAUAGCCUUUCGAAAGAAAGAUUAAUACCCGAUGGCAUAGUUCUUCCGCAUGGUAGAACUAUUAAAGAAUUUCGGUCAUCGAUGGGGAUGCGUUCCAUUAGGUUGUUGGCGGGGUAACGGCCCACCAAGCCUUCGAUGGAUAGGGGUUCUGAGAGGAGGGUCCCCCACAUUGGAACUGAGACACGGUCCAA